rnacentral:rRNA from 1 species
CCUACGGGAGGCAGCAGUGAGGAAUAUUGGUCAAUGGACGAGAGUCUGAACCAGCCAAGUAGCGUGAAGGAUGACUGCCCUAUGGGUUGUAAACUUCUUUUAUAUGGGAAUAAAAUGUUCCACGUGUGGGAUUUUGUAUGUACCAUAUGAAUAAGGAUCGGCUAACUCCGUGCCAGCAGCCGCGGUAAUACGGAGGAUCCGAGCGUUAUCCGGAUUUAUUGGGUUUAAAGGGAGCGUAGGUGGAUUGUUAAGUCAGUUGUGAAAGUUUGCGGCUCAACCGUAGCAUUGCAGUUGAAACUGGCAGUCUUGAGUACAGUAGAGGUGGGCGGAAUUCGUGGUGUAGCGGUGAAAGGCUUAGAUAUCACGAAGAACUCCGAUUGCGAAGGCAGCUCACUGGACUGCAACUGACACUGAGGCUCGAAAGUGUGGGUAUCAAACAGGAUUAGAUACCCCAGUAGUC